GAUGAAGAACGCAGCGAAAUGCGAUAAGUAAUGUGAAUUGCAGAAUUUAGUGAAUCAUCGAAUCUUUGAACGCAUAUUGCGCCCGCCAGCACUCUGGCGGGCAUGCCUGUUCGAGCGUCAUUUCAACCCUCAGGCCUCGCGUCUGGCGUUGGGGCGCUGCGGCCCUCCCGCAGGCCCCCAAAUCUAGCGGCGGAUCCGCCGCGGCCCUGAGCGCAGUAGUUAAUUUACUCAAACGCUCCGGCGGCCGUGGCGCGGUCUUGCCUCUCGCCCAAGAGCACUACCAAUAAUAGCCUCUCCCACAAAAAGUUGACCUCGGAUCAGGUAGGACUACCCGCUGAACUUAAGCAUAUCAAUAAGCGGAGGA
rnacentral:misc_RNA from 1 species